rnacentral:rRNA from 1 species
GAUAAGUACUGAAAGCAUCUAAGUACGAAGCUCGCCUCAAGAUGAGAUCUCCUUUAAGGGUCGUUAAAGACUAUGACGUUGAUAGGCUGUAGGUGUAAAGGCAGUAAUGUCAAAGCCGAGCAGUACUAAUUACCCGUAAGCUUUCGGGGU